AAUCCCUGUAUCAAAUCAUCCAACAUCCAGCCAAUCAAGUUACGCUCCAUUGGUCAUGUGACGCCGAAACAGGAAGACGGUGAAGUUCAGGUGUGCUCCGGUCAGAGCUCAGCAUGGCUCAGAACACAAAUGAUGGUGCUACGAGAACAGAGGCAUACGGAGAGACCAUCACUUCAAUUGGAAAUGACCAGCUUGAAGGGGGAUCCAUACUGAUAAGGAUAAACAGCUGGUCCAGGACUUGGCCCAUGCCUGGGACCUCCCUUGCCUAACUGAGAAAAACAGGAGAUGGAUUUUUGAGAAGCUAUUG